rnacentral:rRNA from 1 species
UAGGGAAUCGUCGGCAAUGGACGAAAGUCUGACCGAGCAACGCCGCGUGAGUGAAGAAGGUUUUCGGAUCGUAAAACUCUGUUGUUAGAGAAGAACAAGGACGUUAGUAACUGAACGUCCCCUGACGGUAUCUAACCAGAAAGCCACGGCUAACUACGUGCCAGCAGCCGCGGUAAUACGUAGGUGGCAAGCGUUGUCCGGAUUUAUUGGGCGUAAAGCGAGCGCAGGCGGUUUCUUAAGUCUGAUGUGAAAGCCCCCGGCUCAACCGGGGAGGGUCAUUGGAAACUGGGAGACUUGAGUGCAGAAGAGGAGAGUGGAAUUCCAUGUGUAGCGGUGAAAUGCGUAGAUAUAUGGAGGAACACCAGUGGCGAAGGCGGCUCUCUGGUCUGUAACUGACGCUGAGGCUCGAAAGCGUGGGGAGCAAACAGG